rnacentral:rRNA from 1 species
UACAGAGGUGGCAAGCGUUGUUCGGAAUUACUGGGCGUAAAGGGCGAGUAGGCGGCCUUCUAAGUCAGACGUGAAAUCCCCCGGCUUAACCUGGGAACUGCGUCUGAUACUGGGAGGCUCGAGUAUGGGAGAGGGAUGUAGAAUUCCAGGUGUAGCGGUGAAAUGCGUAGAUAUCUGGAGGAAUACCGGUGGCGAAGGCGGCAUCCUGGACCAUUACUGACGCUGAGGAGCGAAAGCGUGGGGAGCGAACAGG